GUUGGUUUGACCUUAAGCCGGUGAGCGAACCCGCAAGGGGCGCAGCCGACCACGGUCGGGUCAGCGACUGGGGUGAAGUCGUAACAAGGUAGCCGUAGGGGAACCUGCGGCUGGAUCACCUCCUUUCAAGGAUGGUUUUUGAGAUAAGAUUGGGUAACUGAUCUUGCUUGAAGGCUUCCGAAAUAAAAGUCCUUUACUUUGGAUCAGUGAAGGCAACGUUCUGUCAGGUGUCUGUUCGGCUUAGCCGACGGGAGCGCCGUCAACAUAUCCCU
rnacentral:rRNA from 1 species